UGGGCCAGUGUGUGGAAGCAGUUUAGUUAGGCUACAACAAUAACAAUAGCUGUUGUAGUGUCAAAAACAGAUAACACCAUGAUACUUUGUUGUACAGAUAGGACAUAAGGGAUUGCUCAAAGCUGCAUAUACAGCGUGCAAAUUAUCAGGCCGGAGUCUGGAGGCACUGUCUGGAAGGACAGCCAGACAUACCUGAACCAAAAGGACACGGAUGGACAACCGAUGACAAAGGAAUGUUGAUGGUGGACUGGAUGCAGGGACCGCCAGCCCCAUUGGCUGUCCUGGAACUUUUGGCCUGCAAAUGCGUACGGACCUGCAAACUUCCUGACUGCUCCUGCCUUUCAAACAAAUUAAAGUGCACGGAAUUGUGUAGGUUACAAACUUGUAGCAAUCAGAUGGAAGAAGAGGAGGAGGAGAACAUAAAUGCCAGUCUGGAUGAAUAUGAUGAUAGUGAUUAAAAAAAAAGUUUGCAAUGAAGAAAUAGGUUUAUGAACAACAGAGGUUUAAUUGUUAUAGUUAUGUGUGCUAUGUGCUUAAAUAAAGUGGCGCUGUUUUCAUUCUCUCAUUGAACAGUUACAGUAUUGUCAUUGAAUGCUAAUUUCUGUGAGUGAGCCACCACUUGCAAUAUUCUUCUUUUGCAAAUGCCCUUCUGAUAGAUACCUCUUGACCUAGAUCUCUUGCCUGAGUCCUCAUUAAUAUUGUCUUCAAACGUUUGAGCACAUCCACCUAUAAAUU